rnacentral:misc_RNA from 1 species
UUGUGGAGGAGGACGCCGAAGGUGGGGCUAAUGACUGGGGUGAAGUCGUAACAAGGUAGCCGUACCGGAAGGUGCGGCUGGAUCACCUCCUAACAGGGAGACAAUAAAUUGAUUGUGAUGUCUGAGUUUUUUAUACUUAGGCUGCAAUCCUGUCACCUUAAGGUCGAUCGGUACCUCAGAUUUUAGAAUUUAAUUUAUUCUCUUAUUUCAGUCCCUAAACUUGUCUAGGUCACACCCAACAAAGGUUUCUCCUGGGCCAUUAGCUCAGGUGGUUAGAGCGCACCCCUGAUAAGGGUGAGGUCCCUGGUUCAAGUCCAGGAUGGCCCAUUCGUUGUUGGGGGUAUAGCUCAGUUGGUAGAGCGCCUGCUUUGCAAGCAGGAUGUCAGCGGUUCGAGUCCGCUUACCUCCACUGAAAACUAUCCUGAUAACUAAUUUUGGAGAAAAUUUUGUAGAUUUGGCUCAGAAUUGUCUAUUGAAAAGAACCUAGCUUCUUAUCAUCUUUCAUAUAGUUGAUAACAUGCUGGGCUCCCAUGGAUUUAUUUCAUGAGAAUUCGGUAGAACCUUGAAAACUGCAUAGAUUAGAAAGAAUAAAGCAUCUCAUGGAUGCAUAAUUCUGUUUUAAUGAUUUAGCUUUAAAACUGAAUUAUUAAUAUUAGAAUUCAUGUUUAAUUCUUGAGUAAAAGCCGAGCACAAUUAAUUUUUGAUUGUAUUAAGGUCAAGCUACAAUG